CCUACGGGAGGCUGCAGUGAGGAAUAUUGGUCAAUGGACGGAAGUCUGAACCAGCCAUGCCGCGUGCAGGAAGACGGCUCUAUGAGUUGUAAACUGCUUUUGUUCAAGAGUAAACCUGAAUACGUGUAUUCAGCUGAAAGUACUGUACGAAUAAGGAUCGGCUAACUCCGUGCCAGCAGCCGCGGUAAUACGGCGGCUCCCAGCGUUAUCCGGAUUUGUUGGGUUUAAAGGGUGUGUAGGCGGAUGGAUAAGUUAGAGGGGAAAUGUCCGAGCUUAACUCGGGAACUGCCUCUAAUACUGGUGAUCUAGAGAGUAGGUGCGGUAGGCGGAAUGUAUGGUGUAGCGGUGAAAUGCUUAGAGAUCAUACAGAACACCGAUUGCGAAGGCAGCUUACCAAUCUAUAUCUGACGUUGAGGCACGAAAGCGUGGGGAGCAAACAGGAUUAGAUACCCUAGUAGUC
rnacentral:rRNA from 1 species